rnacentral:rRNA from 1 species
AUACGGAGGGUGCAAGCGUUACGCGGAAUCACUGGGCGUAAAGCGUCCGUAGGCGGUCGGGUAAGUCGGGUGUGAAAGCCCCGGGCUCAACCUGGGAAGUGCACCCGAUACUGCUCGACUCGAGUGCGGGAGAGGAUGGCGGAAUUCCCGGUGUAGCGGUGAAAUGCGUAGAGAUCGGGAGGAACACCAGUGGCGAAGGCGGCCAUCUGGCCCGCAACUGACGCUGAGGGACGAAAGCGUGGGGAGCAAACAGGAUUAGAAACCCUAGUAGUCC